UACAGAGGGGGCAAGCGUUGUUCGGAAUUACUGGGCGUAAAGGGCUCGUAGGCGGUCUGUCGCGUCGGGAGUGAAAACUCAGGGCUUAACCCUGAGCCUGCUUCCGAUACGGGCAGACUAGAGGUAUGCAGGGGAGAACGGAAUUCCUGGUGUAGCGGUGGAAUGCGCAGAUAUCAGGAGGAACACCGGUGGCGAAGGCGGUUCUCUGGGCAUUACCUGACGCUGAGGAGCGAAAGUGUGGGGAGCGAACAGG
rnacentral:rRNA from 1 species